rnacentral:tRNA from 1 species
GCGCCCAUAGCUCAAUGGAUAGAGCAUUGGUCUUCGGAACCAAGGAUGAAGGUUCAACUCCUUCUGGGCGUA